GACGAACGCUGGCGGCGCGCUUAACACAUGCAAGUCGAGCGAAGCGGCGGACGGGUGAGUAACACGUGAGUAACCUGCCUUAGACAUUGGGAUAGCCUCGGGAAACCGGGAUUAAUACCAAAUGGUCUAAGAUGGACUCGCGUCCCAUUAACUAGUUGGUGAGGUAACGGCCCACCAAGGCGACGAUGGGUAGCCGGCGAGAGAGGGGGAACGGACACAUUGGAACUGGGAAGCGGUCCAAACUCUACGGGAGGCAGCAGUGGGGAAUAUUGCAAAAUGGAGGGAAUUCUGAUGGAGCGACGCCGCGUGAACGAAGAAGGCUUGCGAGUCGUAAAGUUGUUUUAUAUGGGAAGCGGUACCAUAAGAAAAAGCCCCGGCUAACUACGUGCCAGCCGCCGCGGUAAUUC
rnacentral:rRNA from 1 species